AUUGAACGCUGGCGGCAGGCCUAACACAUGCAAGUCGAACGAGUGGUGGACGGGUGAGUAAUGUCUGGGAAACUGCCCGAUGGAGGGGGUUAACUACUGGAAACGGAAGCUAAUACCGCAUACCAUCGGAUGUGCCGAGGUGGGAUUAGCUCGUAGGUGGGGUAACGGCUCACCUAGGCGACGAUCCCUAGCUGGUCUGAGAGGAUGACCAGCCACACGGGAACGGAGACACGGUCCAGACUCCUACGGGAGGCAGCAGUGGGUAAUAUUGCACAAUGGGCGCAAGCCUGAUGCAGCCAUGCCGCGUGUAUGAAGAAGGCCUUCGGGUUGUAAAGGACUUUCAGCGAGGAGGCGUUACUCGCAGAAGAAGCACCGGCUAACUCCGUGCCAGCAGCCGCGGUAAUUC
rnacentral:rRNA from 1 species